rnacentral:rRNA from 1 species
AUUGAACGCUGGCGGCAUGCCUAACACAUGCAAGUCGAGGGGCAUCACAUGAAGUAGCAAUACGGAUGGUGGCGACCGGCGCACGGGUGAGUAACACGUAUGCAACCUGCCUUCAACAAGGGGAUAACCCGUUGAAAGACGGACUAAUACCCUAUAACACAGGGGUCCCGCAUGGGAAUAUUUGUUAAAGGACAACCGGUUGAAGAUGGGCAUGCGUUCCAUUAGCUAGUUGGCGGGGUAAGGGCCCACCAAGGCAACGAUGGAUAGGGGAACUGAGAGGUUUAUCCCCCACACUGGUACUGAGACACGGACCAGACUCCUACGGGAGGCAGCAGUGAGGAAUAUUGGUCAAUGGACGCAAGUCUGAACCAGCCACGUCGCGUGAAGGAAGACGGCCCUACGGGUUGUAAACUUCUUUUAUACGGGAAUAAAGUGCCCCACGCGUGGGGUUUUGCAUGUACCGUAUGAAUAAGGAUCGGCUAACUCCGUG